rnacentral:rRNA from 1 species
AGGACGAACGCUGGCGGCGUGCUUAACACAUGCAAGUCGAGCGGAAAGGCCCUUCGGGGUACUCGAGCGGCGAACGGGUGAGUAACACGUGAGCAACCUGCCCCUGGCUCUGGGAUAGCCUCCGGAAACGGGGAUUAAUACCGGACAUGACCUGCUGCCGCAUGGUGGCGGGUGGAAAGUUUUCGGCCAGGGUGGGGCUCGCGGCCUAUCAGCUUGUUGGGGGGUGACGGCCCACCAAGGCGACGACGGGUA